ACGAACGCUGGCGGCGUGCUUAACACAUGCAAGUCGAACGGAAAGGCCCUGCUUUUGUGGGGUGCUCGAGUGGCGAACGGGUGAGUAACACGUGAGUAACCUGCCCUUGACUUUGGGAUAACUUCAGGAAACUGGGGCUAAUACCGGAUAGGAGCUCCUGCUGCAUGGUGGGGGUUGGAAAGUUUCGGCGGUUGGGGAUGGACUCGCGGCUUAUCAGCUUGUUGGUGGGGUAGUGGCUUACCAAGGCUUUGACGGGUAGCCGGCCUGAGAGGGUGACCGGCCACAUUGGGACUGAGAUACGGCCCAGACGCCGACGGGAGGCAGCAGUGGGGAAUGUGGCACAAUGGGCGGAAGCCGGAUGCAGCAACGCCGCGUGCGGGAUGACGGCCUUCGGGUUGUAAACCGCUUUCGCCUGUGACGAAGCGUGAGUGACGGUAAUGGGUAAAGAAGCACCGGCUAACUACGUG
rnacentral:rRNA from 1 species